AUUGGACGCUGGCGGCAUGCUUUACACAUGCAAGUCGAACGGCAGCGCGGGCUUCGGCCUGGCGGCGAGUGGCGAACGGGUGAGUAAUGCAUCGGAACGUGCCCAGUAGUGGGGGAUAGCCCGGCGAAAGCCGGAUUAAUACCGCAUACGACCUGAGGGUGAAAGCGGGGGACCGAAAGGCCUCGCGCUAUUGGAGCGGCCGAUGUCGGAUUAGCUAGUUGGUGGGGUAAAGGCUUACCAAGGCGACGAUCCGUAGCUGGUCUGAGAGGACGACCAGCCACACUGGGACUGAGACACGGCCCAGACUCCGACGGGAGGCAGCAGUGGGGAAUUUUGGACAAUGGGGGCAACCCUGAUCCAGCCAUGCCGCGUGCGGGAAGAAGGCCUUCGGGUUGUAAACCGCUUUUGUUCGGGAAGAAAUCCUCUGGGCUAAUACCCCGGGGGGAUGACGGUACCGGAAGAAUAAGCACCGGCUAACUACGUG
rnacentral:rRNA from 1 species